CUCACACAAUCCUCCUGCCUUGGCCUCCCAGAGUGCUUAGGAUUUGACAUGAGCCACCACACCCGGCCUAAUUUGGCAAGCAGUUUGAAGUCUAACAAUAUCAGAAGAAUGUGAGGAAAGGCAACACUCAUAUACCACUGGUAAGAUGUAAAUGGAAACAGCUUUGGAGAACAAUAUGGUACUGCCACCAUCACCACCACCACCAUAACCAACAUGACCAGGAUCACCACCAUCAUCAUCGUCACCAUCAUAAUCAUCACAGAAGCUGUCGCUUUAGGACACUUACUAUUUAUCAGGAACUGUACCAAGCACCUUAUAGAUACCAACCUUAUACACUGUCACCACUGAGAAUGCAUAACCCAGAGCAGGAAGCCCACCUUGCAGCUGUCAUCAUCUGGCUGUGUUACGGUCUCAUCUAAAGCAGGGUUUCGGCCACUGCGUGGGUUUGAUGGCUUCAUGCUUUACUCAGCGUGUUCCUUCUCCUCUUGGGAUUGGCACUGGAAAUAUCCACAAAGCCACAGCAUCUCUGGUCACAGCAUCCUGAUCAGAGAGCUACUCGAUUCUUUCAUUAAAGGAAUGUCCCAUAUUGGGAUGAAAUCCUUGUGGUUAUAAGGUAUGGCAAAAUACUACGCUUCUUACCCGCCCUCUACCCCUUAACAAAAAUCUUGUAAAGAAGGGCCAUGAUCUGCCUGGGGUGUAGGAAAAGAACUUCCAUCUAAAAGAAUGACAUUUCAGAUACUCAAAAACUCAGGCAAUACAUCAUCCACACACUCUAAGAAGAAAAAUUUUAGAAAAAAGUAUUUAAAGAAGAAAAGGAGAGUGUAUGUUCUGCAAAGAAUAACGGUAAUCGAUAAAAACAGUAGAGCUGUCAGGAAAGUCUAGAAGUUUCUGAUAACAUGGAUGUGAAACAUCAUGUAAUAGUUAAGAAAAAAAAAGUCUUUAGGGAUACAAGGGCAAAAAUAAAAGAAGCCACAUGGAAUAAAAAUCCUAGGUUAUUUCAACAAAACCUAGGAAAUGAGAAGGAGGAGAUAUCAAAAUAUCCUACUUUUGCCUUGUAAGGUGGUAGAAUAUUUUGGAUAGAAGUUAAUUUUUGACACUGAUAGGGAAAUACAGAUAAAACAUGCUUGUUCAAAGUUUAAAGGUAAUCCCCAGAAGAAAAAUAAAAGGAAGAAUGAAAAACUAGUCAAAUUCUGUAAAAGGCAGGAAAAUAAAGAUAUAUUUUGAGUGCCAUGAAAGCUUAUAAACAAAAUUCAAAGGCAGACGAUGAUCUGAACUGCCCCAUACUAGGCAACUUAAAUUUAGACUAAUUAAAAUAAAAGACUGCUCAAGUGCUCAAGAAUCCGACAUACUAAUGACUACCAAACUGGAUUUCUAUCACUCCAGAAAGUUCCAGCAGACAGCAUUAAUGGUGAAAAAUACAAGGUAACAAACGAGCCCAUGUUAAAUAUGGUCCCAUUUAUGUUAAACACACAGACACAUACUAAAAUGUGAGUUAAACUGCCACCGGUGGCAUCUCUAGGAUAUAAGAUGAUGAAAAGCUUUCAUUCUCUCCUUUAUGCACUUUAUUGUUUGGAUUUUUAAAAAGCACAUUUUACUCUUAUCAAGAGUAAACAGUCCUUAACAUACUUUGAAAUGGAACAACAACAAACCAGUCAAUUUCUUUCUUGAACUAGAAAGUAGAACUUGGUUCUGUUAAAGUGAUUAUAACAAAAAUAGAUUUAUAGCAUAUAUUUGUGCUAUUAAACAGAGAUGGCAAAGUAUGUGUCCUAUAUUUAGAAAUUUUCUGUAUUUUAGCCAACCUCUGGGAGAAGUUUGCUCUGGGCCAAAGGGUGAUUCAGAUGCAAGUCUUAGCAGAUAUUUGAUCAUUUCAAAUUGUAUUUCUUGAAUUGCAGAGGUCCCUUGGGCAUGGAUCUCAUUUAGAUUUAUAUAGCUGAUAACAGAUCAAAUUUCAGAAAGGGCAGCUUGGAGUUAUUCCUUAAAUUUUUGAUGACAAGAAAAACCUACUGAGAGUCAUAGUAAGUUUCUGUAUUUUCCCACUGAUACCAUACGGUUGAGUAAGAGAAAGUUCCCGAACUCAAUCUUACCAAUAGACAGAUAAAGUCAGAUAUGACAACAUACUGCACAGAGAAUAACUUCACUAUUCCCCCCUAAAUCCGGGGUGGUAGAAGACAGAGUGUGUUCUUUGUUAAAAGAAUUCUGACGUUUUCAUCUUUGCCUAAUACCAGAUCUUUAAUUUUUCUAAGAAAAAAAUGUCUUCACCCUUAAAUACUAAAACCAUUUCGUAUCUACCUUAGGGAUUAAUUUAGUCAUUUAUCGGCCAACAAAGACAUAUUCAUGUAUGUUAUAUUUUGAUUCCCUGUAUAAAUAUUCUAGACAGCUGCUUCCUAUUUCACCAUAGUGAAUAUGCAGGGAAAAGCUCUCCCAGUGGGAAAAGGAUGAGAAACAUCAAUGUGUCUAGGAAAUACGCAUUCUGAAAGUCAGUGUUGGUAAACCUAGGUUUUGUUACAAACUUGAGCACUAAUUUUAUUUGAGGCUAACUGCGUGAUUUUUGUUUCUCACACUGGACGAUAGGUAUCAUUAAUGUGGUAAGAGAUAAUGACUACUACCCAAAUGUCCCCCACGGACAUGGAAAGGACAAGAACAUGGUGAGUUUCAGCUGAUUCUUCAACAACUUGCCCUGUCUUCAAUGGUUUCCCCAAAUCCCUUCAUAACAAACAGAAGGCACAAACACAGCAAAGAUGAUCAAAGUAUUAAAGAUCCUUGAGUAUCUACCCAA